UUUUGAGGUCUGAAUUGACAUAAAUAAAACAUGCAUGAUUUGAUGUUACACGGUGAUGUAUUUGUUGGGAUUUCUCUAAAUAACUCUUUUUUUUUUUUUUUUUUAAAUUCGUGUUUCAGGUGAAUUAUGAGGUAUUUGUGUGGCAGAGGGAGAAAAGGUGUGAAUCUCUGAUUCACCGACAAGAGUUUUUACCUGAAGCAUGUCCUUAUCAGCAUCAGCAGCAGGAGGCGGCGGUUCCUUCUCCACCUCCUUUUUUCUCAUGACUCAUGUCUUCCUCUUUUGUCUUCUUAGAAACACUUUUAUGCCCUUUGUUGGAGUGCUUUAACCACCACCAUGAUGUUAAGUUAUAGAUGGAUGCUGCGCUGUGAUUGGCGUUUAAGAUUAAGAUAUAUUGAUCAGACACAGAAAGAGGUGUUUCAGAUGUGACUUUGCCUGUAAGAAACAGAUAUCCGAAAAAUCCUGUCCUGAAAAUAAAACAUUUAGUUUACGAAUGAUUGAAAAAAAGUUUAACAACAGACCAACGACUCACAUGACUGCAGGACGUUUGACAACAGUGUAGAAAAACCGUCUCUCAACUAAAACUGAAUCAGACAAUUUGGGAACACCAAAACAGCAAAGAUGGCUGGUCUCUGGUGGAUCACUGUGACGAUGGUCUUCUGUCUGUCUGCUGGAAGUUUGGCUGAAAUAGACCAAAAGCUGCUCGCGACACUCAUAUGUCAUCUAACGAAAACA
ensembl:lncRNA